AGAGUUUGAUCCUGGCUCAGAGCGAACGCUGGCGGCGUGCCUAAUACAUGCAAGUCGAGCGAAUGGAUUAAGAGCUUGCUCUUAUGAAGUUAGCGGCGGACGGGUGAGUAACACGUGGGUAACCUGCCCAUAAGACUGGGAUAACUCCGGGAAACCGGGGCUAAUACCGGAUAAUAUUUUGAACUGCAUGGUUCGAAAUU
rnacentral:rRNA from 1 species